UGGUAGUCCACGCCCUAAACGAUGUCUACUAGUUGUCGGGUCUUAAUUGACUUGGUAACGCAGCUAACGCGUGAAGUAGACCGCCUGGGGAGUACGGUCGCAAGAUUAAAACUCAAAGGAAUUGACGGGGACCCGCACAAGCGGUGGAUGAUGUGGAUUAAUUCGAUGCAACGCGAAAAACCUUACCUACCCUUGACAUGUCAGGAACCCUCGAGAGAUUGAGGGGUGCCCGAAAGGGAACCUGAACACAGGUGCUGCAUGGCUGUCGUCAGCUCGUGUCGUGAGAUGUUGGGUUAAGUCCCGCAACGAGCGCAACCCUUGUCAUUAGUUGCUACGAAAGGGCACUCUAAUGAGACUGCCGGUGACAAACCGGAGGAAGGUGGGGAUGACGUCAAGUCCUCAUGGCCCUUAUGGGUAGGGCUUCACACGUCAUACAAUGGUACAUACAGAGGGCCGCCAACCCGCGAGGGGGAGCUAAUCCCAGAAAGUGUAUCGUAGUCCGGAUCGCAGUCUGCAACUCGACUGCGUGAAGUUGGAAUCGCUAGUAAUCGCGGAUCAGCAUGCCGCGGUGAAUGCGUUCCCGGGUCUUGUACACACCGCCCGUCACACCAUGGAGCGGGUUUUACCAGAAGUAGGUAGCUUAACCGUAAGGGGGGCGCUUACCACGGUAGGAUUCGUGACUGGGGUGAAGUCGUAACAAGGUA
rnacentral:rRNA from 1 species